ACCACAAAGAGCAUGGGAUUCUUGGAGUGAGAGUGAACACAGCUUCUGCUGCUGGAGGCCGUAGGUAAUAUUUACUAAGGUAAUGCUGGACUCUCUUUCUGCCAAAUGACUACAUCAGAUCUCUAACAUAUACUCCACCUUUCAAGGUAGAACAAGUGGAGCAAGAGGAAAAAAAUGCUGAAAAGUCAAGAAUAGUGAACUGUCGCAAGAAGCAGUUGUUAGUAAAAUGAUUAUAACUUGAGUUGCAGACCGCGAACCACAGUGAUUCAAGUUGGGUUGGAAAGAUAAUGCAUGUAUCUACAACUUUCAUGUUUCGCAAGAAGUCAAAUUCGUAUAACAAGGCAGCCAAAAUUACCGUGCAAGACACUUGUUACCUGCCGGAUACAACUUUUCUACCUGUGAAGCAGCAUUAAUUGUUUUUGUCAUAUUUGGAGUUAUAGAGAUCCAAUAAACCUGAUAUUUGCAUUAAUGGAAAGAUAACUCAAGUGGCAAUAAUUUAUCUGUUGAUCAUAAGUCCAAAUUCGUUGCACCAAAGUAUCUGAAAAUUGACACCAAUUUGCAUAUUUCAGCUGUCUUGACUUACAUUUUGGAUGUUCCGAAGGCCUAUAAAAGAGGACCUUGGCUAAGAUUUUGAGAGAAUCAAUUCCUCUUCAUCAUAUUCUAGUUUAUUUUAUUUUCUUUGUAACAUUUUUCUUUAUCAUUAGCUCUAGCUAGGGGUGAAACUUUGGUGUAUUGUCUUUGAUCUUUCACUUUGUUCUUCAAUGUUCAUCUUUUUACUUGGUUGAAGUAUAUGUUCUACAAAUGGUUUUGAUUUGUUAAAGACUUUGAUUUAUUGUUGACAAAUUUUAGCACAAUAAAAUGCUUAGAGAAUCUCUAUAUAUCAACAACUUAUUUUGAUAUAUUCUCUCAAAUAAUUAUCAAGAUUUAUCUUUUAGUAUACUUGCAAUCAAUGUUUUAUCUUCAAUAUGAUCACUUCCAUAUAAGUUAAGUAAAAGAUCAAGAGUAAUUUCUACUCAUUUAUCUGAAAUGAAUCCCCGACGCUCUAGUGUUCGUCUCCAUUGUAGCACUUAUAGAAUAGUUUAUUUUCUUCCAAUUCCCUUUGGUUCGACCUCGGACUUCGACUAUUUCUGUGGAGUUCAGUAAUCUUCUUUUUCAGUGAGAAAUUAAAUGACUGAGCAGAAUUUCAGAAGAACACAAAAAAUAAAUGCAACCAAGAAGAGCAGGAGCUACUUAUUUGGUAUUAUAGACAACAUAAUUCCCAGUUUUCAUCGAUAUCUCUACUUAAUAAAUAUUGCCAGAGCAGAGAUCAAACAGUACAAAAGUAGGAAUUUGGAUCAAAAAACACAUUUUUUACGAAAAAUAUAGGUAAUCAAACGCACUCUAAAUGCAGAUUUACCUUUAAAGUACUUCUAAUCCAUGGACGGAAAUGCUUUUGCACAUGAAUAUCUAAACAUACAGUAGUAGUAAUAGGUAAUUUUAUUAUCCAAAUUUAGUGCAGCUCUGCCCCAGAUUGGGAAACCGGCUUUGGGGAUGUGUAAGAAGUCAAGUGACUAUUAAUUAAUCACUUCUGUGGCUAUCCAUGCACGCUCAUGUUUUGAGGUUAUGUUAGGCUCUCUUACAACCCGCUGAUAACAUUGAUUAACUUUCUGGUAGCUAUUAACUGUUCACAUCCACUCAGUGAAGCGUCGUGGCAGCUGGAUUCCAUCUCUAAGUUGCAUUAAUUCAUAUAUGGUGGUGCCUGCAUUAGAUAAAUACUAACUGCAUAGGAGGCUUGAAUGCUUUUUGUAUUUAUUAUUAUUGCACUAACCCUCAGUGGAAUUUAUAUUUUCUUUUUCUACAAUUUUCUUUUUUCACCUUGGUUAAUCCCCCUCUCCUCGCGUUAUAUCUAAGUACACGAGCCAUGCUAAUCAUUGGCGGAUCCACAUUGGGUCCUAGUGGGUCUACCCACUAGCUUUAGAGGUUUUUAUUAUUAUUAUUAUUAUUAUU